rnacentral:lncRNA from 1 species
CCCCAAUAAAUGAAUUUAACCCUGUCGAUCCACAUAUAAUCGACUUUAUGUCCUUUCGAGUCUUAAAGAUACAACCGUUUCCCUUCUGGAACCCAUUUAAAAAUUGUGUUUAUAGGUUGUAUAUACUGACGUAUGGAAAUUUAGCCUUAUUUUUUCAAAAUAUUGUUGUCAGCAUUCAGAUGAUUAUCAAACAAAAACUUCACAUAGGAUUUUAAAAU